UACGUAGGGUCCGAGCGUUGUCCGGAAUUACUGGGCGUAAAGCGCACGUAGGCGGUUCGUUAAGUCGGAUGUGAAAGCCCUCGGCUCAACUGAGGAAGUGCACCCGAAACUGGCGAGCUUGAGUACGAAAGAGGAUCGCGGAAUUCCCGGUGUAGAGGUGAAAUUCGUAGAUAUCGGGAGGAACACCGGUGGCGAAGGCGGCGAUCUGGGUCGAUACUGACGCUGAGGUGCGAAAGCGUGGGGGAGCAAACAGG
rnacentral:rRNA from 1 species